rnacentral:rRNA from 1 species
AGCCAGACUCCUACGGGAGGCAGCAGUAGGGAAUAUUGCACAAUGGGGGAAACCCUGAUGCAGCGACGCCGCGUGAGCGAUGAAGUAUUUCGGUAUGUAAAGCUCUAUCAGCAGGGAAGAAGAUGACGGUACCUGACUAAGAAGCCCCGGCUAACUACGUGCCAGCAGCCGCGGUAAUACGUAGGGGGCAAGCGUUAUCCGGAUUUACUGGGUGUAAAGGGAGCGUAGACGGCGAUGCAAGCCAGAUGUGAAAGCCCGGGGCUCAACCCCGGGACUGCAUUUGGAACUGUGUGGCUGGAGUGUCGGAGAGGCAGGCGGAAUUCCUAGUGUAGCGGUGAAAUGCGUAGAUAUUAGGAGGAACACCAGUGGCGAAGGCGGCCUGCUGGACGAUGACUGACGUUGAGGCUCGAAAGCGUGGGGAGCAAACAGGAUUAGAUACCCCUGUA